GAUCAACGCUGGCGGCGUGCUUAACACAUGCAAGUCGAACGAAGUUUUUCCUUCGGGAGAAACUUAGUGGCGGACGGGUGAGUAACGCGUGGGUAACCUGCCCUGUACAGGGGGACAACAGCUGGAAACGGCUGCUAAUACCGCAUAAGCACUUAGCACUGCAUGGUGCAUAGGGAAAAGGAGCAAUCCGGUACAGGAUGGACCCGCGUCUGAUUAGCCAGUUGGCAGGGUAACGGCCUACCAAAGCGACGAUCAGUAGCCGAUCUGAGAGGAUGUACGGCCACAUUGGGACUGAGACACGGCCCAGACUCCUACGGGAAGCAGCAGUGGGGAAUAUUGCACAAUGGAGGAAACUCUGAUGCAGCGACGCCGCGUGAGUGAAGAAGUAUUUCGGUAUGUAAAGCUCUAUCAGCAGGGAAGAAAAUGACGGUACCUGACGAAGAAGCACCGGCUAAAUACGUG
rnacentral:rRNA from 1 species